rnacentral:rRNA from 1 species
GACGAACGCUGGCGGCGUGCUUAACACAUGCAAGUCGAACGGAAAGGCCCUGCUUUUGUGGGGUGCUCGAGUGGCGAACGGGUGAGUAACACGUGAGUAACCUGCCCUUGACUGUGGGAUAACUUCAGGAAACUGGGGCUAAUACCGGAUAGGAGCUCCUGCUGCAUGGUGGGGGUUGGAAAGUUUCGGCGGUUGGGGGUGGACUCGCGGCUUAUCAGCUUGUUGGUGGGGUAGUGGCUUACCAAGGCUUUGACGGGUAGCAGGCCUGAGAGGGUGACCGGCCACAUUAGGACUGAGAUACGGCCCAGCCUACUACGGGAGGCAGCAGUGGGGAAUAUUGCACAAUGGGCGGAAGCCUGAUGCAACAACGCCGCGUGCGGGAUGACGGCCUUCGGGUUGUAAACCGCUUUCGCCUGUGACGAAGCGUGAGUGACGGUAAUGGGUAAAGAAGCACCGGCUAACUACGUG